GAUGAAGAACGUAGCGAAAUGCGAUACGUAAUGUGAAUUGCAGAAUUCAGUGAAUCAUCGAAUCUUUGAACGCAUAUUGCGCUCUCUGGUAUUCCGGAGAGCAUGCUUGUUUGAGUAUCAGUAAACACCUCAACUUCCAUAUCUUUUUUGAAAUGGGAGUUGGACUUGAGUGAUCCCAACGCUUUUCCUCACCGAAAAGUGGCGGGUUACUUGAAAUGCAGGUGCAGCUGGACUUUUCUCUGAGCUAUAAGCAUAUCUAUUUAGUCUGCCUAAAAACAGAUUAUUACCUUUGCUGCAGCUAACAUAAAGGAGAUUAGUUCUUGUGCUGACUGAUGCAGGAUUCACAGAGACAGCUUCGGCUGACUUUGUAAACUCGAUCUCAAAUCAAGUAAGACUACCCGCUGAACUUAAGCAUAUCAAUAAGCGGAGGA
rnacentral:misc_RNA from 1 species